GAUGAACGCUAGCUACAGGCUUAACACAUGCAAGUCGAGGGGAAACGAUAGAGAAAGCUUGCUUUUUCUAGGCGUCGACCGGCGCACGGGUGAGUAACGCGUAUCCAACCUGCCCAUCACUUGGGGAUAACCUUGCGAAAGUAAGACUAAUACCCAAUGAUAUCUCUAGAAGACAUCUGAAAGAGAUUAAAGAUUUAUCGGUGAUGGAUGGGGAUGCGUCUGAUUAGCUUGUUGGCGGGGUAACGGCCCACCAAGGCGACGAUCAGUAGGGGUUCUGAGAGGAAGGUCCCCCCACAUUGGAACUGAGACACGGUCCAAACUCCUACGGGAGGCAGCAGUGAGGAAUAUUGGUCAAUGGACGAGAGUCUGAACCAGCCAAGUAGCGUGCAGGAUGACGGCCCUAUGGGUUGUAAACUGCUUUUAUAAGGGAAUAAAGUGAGUCUCGUGAGGCUUUUUGCAUGUACCUUAUGAAUAAGGACCGGCUAAUUCCGUGCCAGCAGCCG
rnacentral:rRNA from 1 species